rnacentral:rRNA from 1 species
GUGGGGAAUAUUGGACAAUGGGGGGAACCCUGAUCCAGCCAUGCCGCGUGUGUGAAGAAGGCCUUUUGGUUGUAAAGCACUUUAAGCGAGGAGGAGGCUACCGAGAUUAAUACUCUUGGAUAGUGGACGUUACUCGCAGAAUAAGCACCGGCUAACUCUGUGCCAGCAGCCGCGGUAAUACAGAGGGUGCAAGCGUUAAUCGGAUUUACUGGGCGUAAAGCGCGCGUAGGUGGCCAAUUAAGUCAAAUGUGAAAUCCCCGAGCUUAACUUGGGAAUUGCAUUCGAUACUGGUUGGCUAGAGUAUGGGAGAGGAUGGUAGAAUUCCAGGUGUAGCGGUGAAAUGCGUAGAGAUCUGGAGGAAUACCGAUGGCGAAGGCAGCCAUCUGGCCUAAUACUGACGCUGAGGUACGAAAGCAUGGGGAGCAAACAGGAUUAGAAACCCUGGUAGUCC